UACGUAGGGUCCAAGCGUUGUCCGGAUUUAUUGGGCGUAAAGAGCUCGUAGGCGGCUCGGUAAGUCGGAUGUGAAAACUCGGGGCUCAACCCCGAGACGCCAUCCGAUACUGCUGUGGCUUGAGUCUGGUAGGGGAGAUCGGAAUUCCUGGUGUAGCGGUGAAAUGCGCAGAUAUCAGGAGGAACACCAAUAGCGAAGGCAGCUCGCUGGGACGGUACUGACGCUAAGGCGCGAAAGCGUGGGGAGCGAACAGG
rnacentral:rRNA from 1 species